ACAACAUUUGGACCAUCGGUCUACCGACCUAUAUCAAUCGCUCGGUACAAGAUCUUCCCUUCGUCGU
rfam:Bombyx mori DNA, contig: Bm_scaf10194_contig55404, strain: p50T/Dazao, build 2, whole genome shotgun sequence.